UUUGGUAUUGCUACCGCACAUGACUUCGAGAGUCAUGAUGAUAUUACUGAGGAACGUCUUUAUCAGAAUAUUUUUGCUUCUCAUUUCGGGCAAUUAGCAAUAAUUUUUCUGUGGACUUCCGGAAAUCUGUUUCAUGUAGCUUGGCAAGGAAAUUUUGAGGCAUGGGUACAGGAUCCUUUACAUGUAAGACCUAUUGCUCACGCAAUUUGGGAUCCUCAUUUUGGUCAACCAGCUAUAGAGGCUUUUACUCGUGGAGGUGCUCUUGGCCCGGUGAAUAUCGCUUAUUCUGGUGUUUAUCAGUGGUGGUAUACGAUUGGGUUACGUACUAAUGAGGAUCUUUAUACUGGAGCUCUUUUUCUAUUUAUUUCUUUCUGCCAUAUCCUUAAUAGCGGGUUGGUUACACCUACAACCCAAAUGGAAACCGAGCGUUUCGUGGUUUAAAAAUGACCGAAUCUCGUCUCAACCAUCAUUUGUCAGGACUUUUCGGAGUUAAGUUCCUUGGCUUGGACAGGACAUUUAGUUCAUGUCGCUAUUCCUGGAUCCAGGGGAGAAAACGUUCGGUGGAAUAAUUUCUUAGAUGUAUUGCCACAUCCCCAAGGAUUAGGCCCACUUUUUACAGGUCAGUGGAAUCUUUAUGCUCAAAACCCGGAUUCAAGUAGUCAUUUAUUUGGUACCUCCCAAGGGGCAGGAACUGCUAUUUUAACCCUUCUCGGAGGAUUCCACCCACAAACGCAAAGUUUAUGGCUUACUGAUAUGGCCCAUCAUCAUUUAGUCUAUUGCAUUUAUUUUUCUUGAUUGCUGGUCAUAUGUAUAGAACGAAUUUCGGGAUUGGGCACAGUAUAAAAAAUCUUUUAGAAGCGCAUAUUCCUCCAGGGGGACGAUUAGGGCGUGGGCAUAAGGGUCUUUAUGACACAAUCAACAAUUCGAUUCAUUUUCAAUUAGGCCUUGCUCUAGCCUCUUUGGGGGUUAUUACGUCUUUGGUCGCUCAACACAUGUAUUCUUUACCUGCUUAUGCGUUCAUAGCGCAAGACUUUACUACUCAAGCUGCGUUAUAUACUCAUCACCAAUACAUCGCAGGAUUUCAUUAUGACAGGGGCUUUUGCUCACGGAGCUAUAUUUUUUAUUAGAGAUUACAACCCGGAACAAAAUGAGGAUAAUGUAUUGGCAAGAAUGUUAGACCAUAAAGAAGCUAUC